rnacentral:rRNA from 1 species
CCUACGGGAGGCAGCAGUGAGGAAUAUUGGACAAUGGAGGAGACUCUGAUCCAGCCAUGCCGCGUGCAGGAAGACUGCCCUAUGGGUUGUAAACUGCUUUUAUACAGGAAGAAACACUAGUACGUGUACUAGCUUGACGGUACUGUAAGAAUAAGGACCGGCUAACUCCGUGCCAGCAGCCGCGGUAAUACGGAGGGUCCGAGCGUUAUCCGGAAUCAUUGGGUUUAAAGGGUCCGCAGGCGGUCGAUUAAGUCAGAGGUGAAAUCCCAUAGCUUAACUAUGGAACUGCCUUUGAUACUGGUUGACUUGAGUCAUAUGGAAGUAGAUAGAAUGUGUAGUGUAGCGGUGAAAUGCAUAGAUAUCACACAGAAUACCGAUUGCGAAGGCAGUCUACUACGUAUGUACUGACGCUCAUGGACGAAAGCGUGGGGAGCGAACAGGAUUAGAUACCCUGGUAGUCCACGCCGUAAACGAUGGACACUAGUUGUUGGGAUUUAUCUCAGUGACUAAGCGAAAGUGAUAAGUGUCCCACCUGGGGAGUACGAUCGCAAGAUUGAAACUCAAAGGAAUUGAC